rnacentral:rRNA from 1 species
GAGUUUGAUCCUGGCUCAGGAUGAACGCUGGCGGCGUGCCUAACACAUGCAAGUCGAACGAAGCACCUUACCUGAUUCUUCGGAUGAAGGUCUGGUGACUGAGUGGCGGACGGGUGAGUAACACGUGAGUAACCUGCCUCUGAGAGUGGGAUAGCUUCUGGAAACGGAUGGUAAUACCGCAUGAAAUCAUAGUAUCGCAUGGUACAAUGAUCAAAGAUUUAUCGCUCAGAGAUGGACUCGCGUCUGAUUAGCUAGUUGGUAAGGUAACGGCUUACCAAGGCGACGAUCAGUAGCCGGACUGAGAGGGUGAACGGCCACAUUGGGACUGAGACACGGCCCAGACUCCUACGGGAGGCAGCAGUGGGGAAUAUUGCACAAUGGGGGAAACCCUGACGCAGCGACGCCGCGUGAAGGAAGAAGUAUCUCGGUAUGUAAACUUCUAUCAGCAGGGAAGAUAAUGACGGUACCUGACUAAGAAGCCCCGGCUAACUACGUGCCAGCCGCCGCGGUAAUUC